AACUGCCACCUAAUUUUUUCAACUCUCGAGUAAAUCAGGUAUAUUUAAUACAACUUACCAUUUUAUAGAUUAUUGUAUUUAAUUUGAUAUAAUAUCCAUGAUUGAAGGAUUGAUUAGAUUUUAUAAAUAUAUAAUCAUCAAAUAAUUGCUAAAUACAUGUAGUUGCUAUUAUAAGUAGAAGAGAAGGCAUAGAAAUAGCACUGAAAUAUUUCCAAUGCCUUUAAAACUGAUAACUGUUGUAAGGGAUCAACAAAAUUCUAUUUCUUUUUCUUUCUCCUAAUUUUGAAAGCUGGAUGUGUUCAUAUGUCUUUUUGACCUUCGGAUUGAUGGAAAUAAUUUAGCUAUUUUCACUUAGAAAGAAAAAGAAAAAAAAUGAUGAAACCCAACUAAAACUACAUUUGCUACAUCUUUAGUGACAGGCUCUUUGUGUUUUGCUCAUUUGAUGUUUGUAUACAAAGAAUAGAGUUGGUAAAAUCUGAAACUGUCUUCCUGAAAUUACAGUGAACCCUUGGGACAGUAAAUAAGAAUUGAAAUGUUAGGUAUUAACAUUAUAGACAACAUCAUUCACGGACUAGUAUAAUAUUUCAAUGGUGUCAUGCAUAAAUGAGUCAGGAAAGAAGACUUGAAUUCACAAGCAAUUGCCUGCUAGCUUCUUGAUAGAAAAGGCCAUUUGACUGCUUAAUAUGUGUUAUCUUAAUCACAGGUGUAUGUUACACAAGUGAGUGCCUUUUGUUUUCUGAAACUUCUAUCUUCUUUUUUUCUAUCAGUGAAUUGAAUGAACGAGGAUAAAAAUAAUACUAUAUAUAAUUGCUCUUUUAAUUCAUGUCAGGUUUGAUUCUAAUAUGAGAAAGCCUACAAAGAUUACCUUUCAUUCUUAUAGUUAGUAGUUAAGAAAAUAUGGAUAGAGUUUAUGCUGCCAAAUAGAGUAGUUUGUGGAUGUAAAUUGUGACGAUAUACUAAGAAUUGGUAAACUUUCACUUGUGUUACAGUUGUAAUGAUAAAGUUCAAUUGUAAUUUAGAAAUUACUACUAAUAUAUAUGAUCCAUAUUUUUUUGCAUUAUAAAUAGUAUUUUGAAUUGAUUUUUUUUAUAAAUAGAUGCAGAUUCAACUUAAAUCAAGGAAGGUUGUGCAAAAGCUAGAUAAAGGUCUCAGAGAAAUAAAGAAGUUUUUAGGAGAAAGAUGAUUUUAGAGAUCCUAGUUGGUAAAUGGACGUCAGUCAAGGCAAUUCCAUCAAAGAGAAAACAAGUGGAAGGAACUCACAAAAG
rnacentral:lncRNA from 1 species